rnacentral:rRNA from 1 species
UACGAAGGGGGCUAGCGUUGCUCGGAAUCACUGGGCGUAAAGGGUGCGUAGGCGGGUCUUUAAGUCAGGGGUGAAAUCCUGGAGCUCAACUCCAGAACUGCCUUUGAUACUGAAGAUCUUGAGUUCGGGAGAGGUGAGUGGAACUGCGAGUGUAGAGGUGAAAUUCGUAGAUAUUCGCAAGAACACCAGUGGCGAAGGCGGCGACCUGGACGGACAUUGACGCUGAGACGCGAAAGCGUGGGGAGCAAACAGG